UUUCUUCUCUAUUACACUAUAUCAUUUUAUCCUGGUAGUUUACCAUCUUGGUCAUUUCAUAUAUUUGUAAGCAUUUAUCUUGCUGUGGAUUGAGGGUUCGGGCUAGAAUUUAAUUUGGUGGCUUCUGACCUGUAACUUCUCCUGUUAUGUUGAACUUUGAAAUGCUUUGAAACAAUUUGGCUUGUGAGCUAUAAAUUAAUCGACUUUUUUCGUUCUGGGUAUGAUUACGGAGCCGGGAGGGAAAAUAAAGAAAGAAUCUCAGCACCGAUUAAGCUCAUUUUUACCACCGCUUCCGUUGGUACAGCCAGAGAGGAACUAAAACAUUGUCUCCCGAUCUAUUAUUUCAAGAUGGAAUUGAACUGCUAGGACAAUUUGACUGAUUACGUUCAUCAUUCAAAUGGUAAAAUUCCAUUGCAAAAUGCUGAGCCUAAUUCUAGAAUGCUCUACUUAAUAUUUUCCAAUAAAUGUUGUAUUUGAAAUUUUAAAUUUGAUUAAAAAUGAGGAGUAACCACCACCCUCUUGUUAGAGUUUAAAUGUGAGGUGUGAGAAAGUGGUAAAAAAUUGUGGAAUAAAACUGUUGUGCGGAUAAAUGGUGCAUAAGAUCUUGUGAGGUGCUUGCUUUAGCAGUAUUAUGCUGCAAAUAUAUUGUAUUUGAUAACUUGUAUCAUUGAAUCAGCAUGUUCAAGCUAAUGCUCAUUACGAGCGAAUGUUCACUUCUCUCAUUUAAUGUGGAAUUAGGGUUUACAAAUAGAAUGAAAUAUCUUUAGUUUUUCUAAGUGGUAAUUUGGGCUUGGGUGCAGGUGAGUUUGAGCGAGCAGCAGGACACACAUCAAAAGUAAAAGUGCACACAUAUGGCACACAGUUUGUUAUUACUGGAUUCAACUAUUUGUUUUUGUGCAACUGGUGCUGAAUUUGCAUAUUUUGUAAUGUAUAAAGGUACAGGUGAUUUGGGCGAGCGAUCCAGUUUCACAACGGAGGGGAGGAG
rnacentral:misc_RNA from 1 species